rnacentral:rRNA from 1 species
GAUGAACGCUGGCGGCGUGCCUAAUACAUGCAAGUCGAGCGAACGGACGAGAAGCUUGCUUCUCUGAUGUUAGCGGCGGACGGGUGAGUAACACGUGGAUAACCUACCUAUAAGACUGGGAUAACUUCGGGAAACCGUAGCUAAUACCGGAUAAUAUUUUGAACCGCAUGGUUCAAAAGUGAAAGACGGUCUUGCUGUCACUUAUAGAUGGAUCCGGGCUGCAUUAGCUAGUUGGUAAGGUAACGGCUUACCAAGGCAACGAUGCAUAGCCGACCUGAGAGGGGGAUCGGCCACACUGGAACUGAGACACGGUCCAGACUCCUACGGGAGGCAGCAGUAGGGAAUCUUCCGCAAUGGGCGAAAGCCUGACGGAGCAACGCCGCGUGAGUGAUGAAGGUCUUCGGAUCGUAAAACUCUGUUAUUAGGGAAGAACAUAUGUGUAAGUAACUGUGCACAUCUUGACGGUACCUAAUCAGAAAGCCACGGCUAACUACGUG